UACGAAGGGGGCUAGCGUUGCUCGGAAUUACUGGGCGUAAAGCGCACGUAGGCGGCUUUCUAAGUCGGGGGUGAAAUCCUGGAGCUCAACUCCAGAACUGCCUUCGAUACUGGAGAGCUCGAGUCCGGGAGAGGUGAGUGGAACUGCGAGUGUAGAGGUGAAAUUCGUAGAUAUUCGGAAGAACACCAGUGGCGAAGGCGGCUCACUGGCCCGGUACUGACGCUGAGGUGCGAAAGCGUGGGGAGCAAACAGGG
rnacentral:rRNA from 1 species